rnacentral:lncRNA from 1 species
CAGGCUUUGGCAAGGCUGCAGCUCCAUCAGAUAAGAGCCUUUAACCUUAUUUCUCCAGCUUGAGCGCUCCACGAAGGGCCAUUCUGUCGUGAGCUUUUCCUUAUCCUCCCCGAGCACUUGCAGAUCAGAGUGAGACUCCACGGGCCAAGAAGAGGGGUCGCUGGCAAAGGGCAGAGGUGGAGGUGUUCAGGGCAAGCAGCCUGGGAAACGGCUUCAGCUUGGGAUAGAAGCACUCUAUCAAAAUUACCAGGAUACAUCCUGCCUUUGAUGGGGAGAUUAUUGUCUCUAAAGGGCCCAAGGAGAGGCUGGGCCUGAGGAGAAGCCCCAUGCCCUGCACAACACAUGGGGAAACUGAGGCACAAAGCCACCACAGCAUCUACCCUUCUCUGAGCCAAAACUACUCUCUUCCACUGGUGUUUCCUUGUCUACGUGAAGCACCCAAAAAGAGGUCAGGCAGACCAGAGCAGCCAGCCUGAGCAUGCAGAGGGAGCAGGAUCCCGGUUCUUGGCUGCAUCUCCUGCACAGACACCAGUGAGCAGGAUUUUCUGCCAACUCAAGCGAUGGAAGCAGCGAAUAACCCUGGCAUGCCCAGGCUCUGCACAGCCCAAC